UCACUAUGGGUGGAAGCUUACCUGGCUUGUGGUCCUGGGUGCUAUAAGAGAGCAGGCUGAGGCUUUGCCUGUGAUGUACAAUCCGUUUCCUCAAUGUUGGAGAUAAACUUGGAGAUAGAGCUUCAAGUCUGCACCUGCAUAUUCCCACCACUUCUCUGAGUCCUGUGAACUAUGACUGAAGAGAAAAACCAUACAGGAUUCCUAU
rnacentral:snoRNA from 1 species